rnacentral:tRNA from 1 species
UGGCUCAGUGGUUAAGCAUUUGACUGCUAACCAAAAUGUCGUUGGUUAGAAUCCACU